UGGGGAAUUUUGCACAAUGGAGGAAACUCUGAUGCAGCGACGCCGCGUGAGUGAUGAAGAUCUUCGGAUUGUAAAACUCUGUCCUUAGUGAAGAUAAUGACAGUAACUAAGAAGCAAGCCCUGGCUAAAUACGUGCCAGCAGCCGCGGUAAUACGUAUGGGGCAAGCGUUGUCCGGAAUUAUUGGGCGUAAAGGGUACGUAGGCGGUUUAAUAAGUCCUAAUUAAAAGGCUAUGGCUCAACCAUAGUAUGGUUAGGAAACUGUUGAACUUGAGUAGAUGAGGGGAAAGAGGAAUUCCAUGUGUAGCGGUGAAAUGCGUAGAUAUAUGGAGGAACACCAAUGGCGAAGGCAACUUUCUGGAAUCAAACUGACGCUGAGGUACGAAGGCGUGGGGAGCAAACAGG
rnacentral:rRNA from 1 species